AGAGUUUGAUCCUGGCUCAGGAUGAACGCUAGCUACAGGCUUAACACAUGCAAGUCGAGGGGCAGCAUUCCAGUUUGCUUGCAAACUGGAGAUGGCGACCGGCGCACGGGUGAGUAACACGUAUCCAACCUGCCGAUAACUCGGGGAUAGCCUUUCGAAAGAAAGAUUAAUACCCGAUGGCAUAAUAGAACCGCAUGGUUUGAUUAUUAAAGAAUUUCGGUUAUCGAUGGGGAUGCGUUCCAUUAGGCAGUUGGUGGGGUAACGGCCACCAAACCUUCGAUGGAUAGGGGUUCUGAGAGGAAGGUCCCCCACAUUGGAACUGAGACACGGUCCAAACUCCUACGGAGGCA
rnacentral:rRNA from 1 species